UUUGUCACUUAAACUAUUAAAAAAAGUCUUUCUUGAAUUCGAUUAUGUUUUGAUAAAAUACCGACAUCAAUAAAGAAAACCUUGAUUUUGUGUGUAAAUAUUUGUACAGAUUGUGGAAUGGAGAAUACCCUGAAACCUGGUGAUGUUAUACAGUGCCGUGAGUGUGGUUACCGAAUCCUUUACAAGAAGCGCACUCGUCGCAUUGUCCAGUAUGAGGCACGCUGAAGAAUGCUGCUGCGGUGUAGCGAACAGUUUGCCAUAGCACCAAUAUUAAUAUGUACUAAAACUGUUGCUGCAACAAUUGGCAUGUAACAAAUAUUAAUAUGUACUGACUGAAACUGUUGCUGCAUCUUCCACCUUCUGUUUGGUUAUUGGAUAAUUACAAAGUCCAUGUAAAGUCAAGAACUAUUUUUAGCUCUGGGAUGAUCUGGUUAAUUCCAGGGUGUGUUUGCAUUUGGGAGAUAUUGGAUAAAAAAUUAAAGAAACAUGAAAACCGUGUGAAUUGCAUGACCUUUACUUGUUUGGAUUUUAGUUUGCAUUACUUUUACUUGUGUGGUUAAAGAAAUGACUGGUC